UAGGGAAUCUUCCGCAAUGGGCGAAAGCCUGACGGAGCAACGCCGCGUGAGUGAUGAAGGUCUUCGGAUCGUAAAACUCUGUUAUUAGGGAAGAACAAAUGUGUAAGUAACUAUGCACGUCUUGACGGUACCUAAUCAGAAAGCCACGGCUAACUACGUGCCAGCAGCCGCGGUAAUACGUAGGUGGCAAGCGUUAUCCGGAAUUAUUGGGCGUAAAGCGCGCGUAGGCGGUUUUUUAAGUCUGAUGUGAAAGCCCACGGCUCAACCGUGGAGGGUCAUUUGAAACUGGAAAACUUGAGUGCAGAAGAGGAAAGUGGAGUUCCAUGUGUAGCGGUGAAAUGCGCAGAGAUAUGGGGGAACACCAGUGGCGAAGGCGACUUUCUGGUCUGUAACUGACGCUGUUGUGCGAAAGCGUGUGGAUCAAACAGG
rnacentral:rRNA from 1 species